UUGGAGGGCAAGUCUGGUGCCAGCAGCCGCGGUAAUUCCAGCUCCAAUAGCGUAUAUUAAAGUUGUUGCAGUUAAAAAGCUCGUAGUUGAAUUUCGGGGUUCUACCGUCGGUCGGGCUACCAAGUCUGUACUGGUGUGUAGAAUUCCUACCUUCUGGGGAACCAUCAUGUUAUUAAUUUAGCGUGGUGGGAAACCAGGACCUUUACCUUGAAAAAAUUAGAGUGUUCAAAGCAGGCUUAUGUCUGAAUACAUUAGCAUGGAAUAAUAGAAUAGGACGGUGGUCCUGUUUUGUUGGUUUCUGAAUCACCGUAAUGAUUAAUAGGGAUAGUUGGGGGCAUUAGUAUUCAAUUGUCAGAGGUGAAAUUCUUGGAUUUAUUGAAGACUAACUUCUGCGAAAGCAUUUGCCAAGGAUGUUUUCAUUAAUCAAGAACGAAAGUUAGGGGAUCGAAGACGAUCAGAUACCGUCGUAGUCUUAACCAUAAACUAUGCCGACUAGGGAUCGGACGAUGUUAACUUUUAUUGACUCGUUCGGCGCCUUACGGGAAAC
rnacentral:rRNA from 1 species